CCUACGGGGGGCAGCAGUGGGGGAUAUUGCACAAUGGGGGGAACCCUGAUGCAGCGACGCCGCGUGGGUGAAGAAGCGCCUCGGCGCGUAAAGCCCUGUCAGCAGGGAAGAAAAUGACGGUACCUGAAGAAGAAGCCCCGGCUAACUACGUGCCAGCAGCCGCGGGAAUAAGUAGGGGGCAAGCGUUAUCCGGAUUUACUGGGGGUAAAGGGGGCGCAGGCGGCGGUGCAAGCCAGGAGUGAAAGCCCGGGGCCCAACCCCGGGACUGCUGUUGAAACUGCGUGGCUGGAGUGCGGGAGGGGCAGGCGGAAUGCGUGGUGUAGCGGUGAAAUGCGUAGAUAUCAGGAGGAACACCGGUGGCGAAGGCAGCAUGCUGGACUGCAACUGACGUUGAGGCCCGAAAGCGUGGGGAGCAAACAGGAUUAGAUACCCGAGUAGUC
rnacentral:rRNA from 1 species